GCUAUAAGAAAAAAUUAUAAAUAGUGACGCCUGCUCAAUGAUUGAACAAUAACCCUUAACAACAAUUCAAUAGCUGCGGUAAUACUUAACCGUACAAAGGUAGCACAACAAAUAGCCUGAUAAUUCCAGGAUCGCAUGAAGGCAAAACGAAACUUUAACUGUCUCAAGAAUCUAAAAAAGAAAAUAGAAUGUGUGUGAAAAUCCACACUUAAGCGGCAAGACGACAAGACCCUAAAAACUUUACUAAAAAUCUUAAAUAUACCACUAAUAAACUAUUUAAAUAUAAUAAUAGAAUAAACUUAAGAUUUAAGUUUCGUUGGGGCAACGAUCUCAAAAACAAUAAAUAAGAUUAAUACAAUCCUCCAAUCCACAAACCAAUAAGUUAAACAUAGAUAAGACCCAUUAAACACAUACAAUUAAUGAACAUAAAAUAAAAGCUCUUUAGGGAUAACAGCGUAAUAUUGUUCACAAAGAUCCACUCAAACAAUGUUUGCGACCUCGAUGUUGAAUUGCUAUACCCCCAAUGUAGACACAUUAAAAGGUUGGACUGUCGUUCCAUUAAAAUAGC
rnacentral:rRNA from 1 species